UACGGAGGGGGCUAGCGUUGUUCGGAAUUACUGGGCGUAAAGCGCGCGUAGGCGGACCUGCAAGUCGGGGGUGAAAGCCCGAGGCUCAACCUCGGAACUGCCUUCGAUACUGCGGGUCUCGAGUCCGGGAGAGGUGAGUGGAAUUCCUAGUGUAGAGGUGAAAUUCGUAGAUAUUCGGAAGAACACCAGUGGCGAAGGCGGCUCACUGGACGACUGUUGACGCUGAGGUGCGAAAGCGUGGGGAGCAAACAGG
rnacentral:rRNA from 1 species